rnacentral:misc_RNA from 1 species
AAAAUUCGAUUAGAUUAAACAGCGAGAAAUUAUUGGAGCUUUAUAACUGUUAUCAACAGAAAGUCAAAACCAGUCUUCAAAAUGACUUGUAAGUCAAUCUAUAGUUUUGUUUACUUUGUAACACUUUUAGUUUUGACAGAAUGUCUACCCCAAUCAGUGUGGGAUGUAUCUAAUAGCUUACCUGAUGAAUACAUGAAUUUAAUUUCUAAUUCUGAGUCGUCGAAAGUUUAUGGAAAAGAAAUUAAAGAUUGGCAUCCAAAAAAAAGGAAUAAAAAAACUUUAUUUCCCAUUACAAAUCGACGGUGUAAUAAAUAUUCACUUGAAAACAUUUCGGAGUUUUGUCAUAUUAUUUUUAAACUUGAGGAACUUAACAAUUUAUUACCCACGUUACAGUAUUUUGUAGUAAAAGAAAAUUCACGUGUGAAGAUAGCUUUUAAUGGACCCGAUAAAAUGAAUCAAAAAAUUUCAUUAGAUUCAUCUGAAAUGUGUAAUAAGAAAUCUAAAGAGUCAUUAACGAUAGCAUGCAGGUUUUUGAAUAAAUUAAAUGAACUAAAAGAGCUUUUAGAAAAAUACCAUCCUAUGUUUCUGAAAAAAAUGGUUCAAAUAAUACCGUUUGAUUUAAAGUUGAAAAACCCGGUAUUAAAAUAUAGUGCUUCAAUAGAGAAUGAAAAAAUAUUUCAGAAUUCCACCAGGAAUAAAAUUAAACCCAAACCUGGCAUUCAUAAAAGAAGACCUGAUAUCCAAACAAAGGAAAUGUAUCGACAAUCAAAAAUAGUGUAACAAAGUCAACUAGAAAGAUUUCAGUAAAAAGUAAUUCACGUCAUUGAAAAUUUUUUAAAAUCAAAAGCAUUUGCAAAAAAUUUGCUUCUGCAAUAUAUAAUCAAUCGUCUAUAAAACUUUAAUUGAGAAUUGCACAUGACAAGGCAAUUACAGAGCUGUCAUAAAUAAAAUGGUUCUUUCUAAUAGCAUAUUGAAAUAUAAAACUUCUAGAAUACUUUAGUUGAGUCUAUGUUAAAUCGAAAUAAUGGAGUUAAGUAAAGAGAAACUUUUAAGAUUUUUGUUUCUCUUCUGGACACUAGAACAUAAUACAAUUGCAAUACGUGAUAGAUAUCAACAUCAUUCAGUUUAUACUAAUGGAUCCAAUCCUAAUCGUUAUCAUUCGACAGAAAGUCAUUGGAAACACAUGGUUUCAGCUUCAAUGUCGAAUAAUUUCAAGAUGCGAGACACGAAAAAUGUUAUAGUUAAGCGACAUUAUGCUGUAAAUUUUAGAAUAUUUCGUGAAUUUAUGCACAGGAAAGCUAAUCAUUUACAAAAAAUCAAGACGAUAAACAAUAAUUUCCAUAAUUAUACUAACAACAACUACAAUACAAGGUAACUCAGUGUAAUAUGCUUAACUUGAUGAGAAUAUUACAUUAGAAGCAGUUAUUUUUUAGCUUCAUCGAAAAUAGAAGAUUCGAGUGUGCCUACACAGAUGAAGACCAUUGUGCAUUGAAACUUCGUUACAUUGUACAACAGAGAUGUGUACUAUUUAUACAAAUAAAACUUGCACUUGGACUACUUUUUGAUCGAUCAACUUUGCUUAGUCAAUACAGAGGUCAUGCAUCAACUAUUAAAGAUUUAGAAGAGUUGCUUAACAUAGUGAUAGAUCAUAUGAGAGAUGUCAAUUUGCAGCUUGAAAAUGCCCUAGCUGGUUCUGAUUUACCAAAUUUAGAAUUGAUGGAUUAUUUUCUUUCAUUUCCUACUUUAUCACCUCCAAAAAUUACAACAACAACAGCGUUAUCGA